rnacentral:rRNA from 1 species
CCAGACUCCUACGGGAGGCAGCAGUGGGGAAUAUUGCACAAUGGGGGAAGCCCUGAUGCAGCGACGCCGCGUGAGUGAAGAAGUAUUUCGGUAUGUAAAGCUCUAUCAGCAGGGAAGAAAAACCGACCAUAGGGUCGCUAGACGGUACCUGAUUAAGAAGCCCCGGCUAACUACGUGCCAGCAGCCGCGGUAAUACGUAGGGGGCUAGCGUUAUCCGGAAUUACUGGGCGUAAAGGGUGCGUAGGUGGUUUCUUAAGUCAGAGGUGAAAGGCUACGGCUCAACCGUAGUAAGCCUUUGAAACUGGGGGACUUGAGUGCAGGAGAGGAGAGUGGAAUUCCUAGUGUAGCGGUGAAAUGCGUAGAUAUUAGGAGGAACACCAGUUGCGAAGGCGGCUCUCUGGACUGUAACUGACACUGAGGCACGAAAGCGUGGGGAGCAAACAGGAUUAGAUACCCCGGUAC